GAGAAAGACAUCUGGGGAAGA
rnacentral:piRNA from 1 species